rnacentral:rRNA from 1 species
GACGAACGCUGGCGGCGUGCUUAACACAUGCAAGUCGAACGAUGAUGCCAGCUUGCUGGUGGAUUAGUGGCGAACGGGUGAGUAACACGUGAGCAACCUGCCCCUGACUUCGGGAUAACCGCGGGAAACCGUGGCUAAUACCGGAUAUGACGCGCUAUCGCAUGGUGGUGUGUGGAAAGAUUUAUCGGUUGGGGAUGGGCUCGCGGCCUAUCAGCUUGUUGGUGGGGUGAUGGCCUACCAAGGCGACGACGGGUAGCCGGCCUGAGAGGGUGACCGGCCACACUGGGACUGAGACACGGCCCAGACUCCUACGGGAGGCAGCAGUGGGGAAUAUGGCACAAUGGGCGAAAGCCUGAUGCAGCGACGCCGCGUGAGGGAUGACGGCCUUCGGGUUGUAAACCUCUUUCAGUAGGGAAGAAGGCCUUCGGGUUGACGGUACCUGCAGAAGAAGCGCCGGCUAACUACGUG